rnacentral:rRNA from 1 species
AGUGAACGCUGGCGGUAGGCCUAACACAUGCAAGUCGAGCGGCAGCACAGUAAGAGCUUGCUCUUACGGGUGGCGAGUGGCGGACGGGUGAGGAAUACAUCGGAAUCUACUUUUUCGUGGGGGAUAACGUAGGGAAACUUACGCUAAUACCGCAUACGACCUACGGGUGAAAGCAGGGGAUCUUCGGACCUUGCGCGAUUGAAUGAGCCGAUGUCGGAUUAGCUAGUUGGCGGGGUAAAGGCCCACCAAGGCGACGCUCCGUAGCUGGUCUGAGAGGAUGAUCAGCCACACUGGAACUGAGACACGGUCCAGACUCCUACGGGAGGCAGCAGUGGGGAAUAUUGGACAAAGGGCGCAAGCCUGAUCCAGCCAUACCGCGUGGGUGAAGAAGGCCUUCGGGUUGUAAAGCCCUUUUGUUGGGAAAGAAAAGCAGCAGGUUAAUACCCCGCUGUUCUGACGGUACCCAAAGAAUAAGCACCGGCUAACUUCGUG